rnacentral:rRNA from 1 species
GAUGAACGCUGGCGGCGUGCCUAAUACAUGCAAGUAGAACGCUGAAGGAGGAGCUUGCUCUUCUGGAUGAGUUGCGAACGGGUGAGUAACGCGUAGGUAACCUGCCUGGUAGCGGGGGAUAACUAUUGGAAACGAUAGCUAAUACCGCAUGACAACAGUUAUUGCAUGAUAACUGUUUAAAAGGGGCAACUGCUCCACUACCAGAUGGACCUGCGUUGUAUUAGCUAGUUGGUGAGGUAACGGCUCACCAAGGCGACGAUACAGAGCCGACCUGAGAGGGUGAUCGGCCACACUGGGACUGAGACACGGCCCAGACUCCUACGGGAGGCAGCAGUAGGGAAUCUUCGGCAAUGGACGGAAGUCUGACCGAGCAACGCCGCGUGAGUGAAGAAGGUUUUCGGAUCGUAAAGCUCUGUUGUAAGAGAAGAACGAGUGUGAGAGUGGAAAGUUCACACUGUGACGGUAUCUUACCAGAAAGGGACGGCUAACUACGUG